rnacentral:rRNA from 1 species
UACGUAGGGUGCAAGCGUUAAUCGGAAUUACUGGGCGUAAAGCGUGCGCAGGCGGUGAUGUAAGACAGGUGUGAAAUCCCUGGGCUUAACCUAGGAACUGCAUUUGUGACUGCAUUGCUAGAGUGUGGUAGAGGGAGAUGGAAUUCCGCAUGUAGCAGUGAAAUGCGUAGAUAUGCGGAGGAACACCAAUGGCGAAGGCAAUCUCCUGGACCUGCACUGACGCUCAUGCACGAAAGCGUGGGGAGCAAACAGG